rnacentral:rRNA from 1 species
GACGAACCGUGCGAACGUUGUUCGGAAUCACUGGGCUUAAAGGGCGCGUAGGCGGGCUUGAUAGUCCGUGGUGAAAGCCCCCGGCUUAACCGGGGAAGUGCCGUGGAUACUGCAAGCCUGGAGGAGGGUAGGGGCAUCUGGAACGCUGGGUGGAGCGGUGAAAUGCGUUGAUAUCCAGCGGAACUCCGGUGGCGAAGGCGAGGUGCUGGACCCUUUCUGACGCUGAUGCGCGAAAGCCAGGGGAGCAAACGGGG